rnacentral:rRNA from 1 species
CCUACGGGUGGCAGCAGUGGGGAAUAUUGGACAAUGGUGGAAACCCUGAUCCAGCGACGCCGCGUGAGUGAAGCAGUCUUUCUGUACGUAAAGCUCUAUCAGCAGGAAAGAAAAUGACGGUACCUGACUACGAAGCCCCGGCUAACUACGUGCCAGCAACCGCGAUACUACGUAGGUGGCACGCGUUAUCCGGAUUUACUGUGUGUAAAGGGAGCGUAGACGGCAGCGCAAGUCUGGAGUGAAAUGACGGGGCCCAACCCCGGAACUGCUCUGGCAACUGGGAAGCUGGAGUGGAGGAGAGGUAAGCGGAAUGCCUGGUGGAGCGGUGAAAUGCGUAGAUAUCAGGAGGAACAACGGCGGCGAAGGCGGCUUACUGGACUGUAACGGACGUUGAGGCUCGAAGGCGUGGGGAGCAAACAGGAUGAGAUACCCUUGUAGUC